UUUCAGUUUCAACAAAAUAGAGACGCUUCCCCUUUCACCUUACCUUCUUCCUUUUCUCCUUCUCUCAGCCGUUUCACGAACUUGAAAAGGCAGACACAUGGUUUCAAGUUCGUUUAAAACCUUCUCUCAGACACUGCCUCUGAUUUCCAGCAUCUCCUCGACACCCUGCCUCGCCCUUCCACCGUCGUCUGGAACACCUUCACCAUCGGCUUCAUCUGCGACCAGCCCACGUCUCUUUCGGGUUUUCAGGAUCUCAGGGAGGAUAUUUGUUUUGCCAUGGUAACCCCUGUCGCAGGUACCUUGGCCACUGGGAUUGGGCCUUUGACGGGUGGUCAAGGAUGGCGGUUAUGCAAACAAACGGAGACAAAGGAUUUUUUGGAGGGUUCGAAUCAAAGUAGGGAAGGUGGUCUGCUCCGUUUAGGUAUGUAUUUCAUCUCUGGUGGUCUCUAGGAUUUAGAACUGAUAUCGUUCCCCUUUUUUUCUUGAUCCUGAUGUAGAAGAUGGCUGAGGUUUGACACCGGAAAUUGUUCCUUCAAUGGUGGCUGCUGGCUGGGUGCCAUGGUUUUCAUACUCGAUUUGGGUUCGAUUUGGGUUUUCCUGCAAAUUUUCAGGGGGGUUGUGCUGCUAUUGUAGUUUCAGGAACACCUUUGCUUGCCGAUCCAAUUUUAUGUGCUUAUAGACUGUUGUCAGAUAAAUGUCGCAACAAUUGGUGAAACCAUUGUUGGUUCUUUGGACCCAAAGCCUAUUAAGAUCACGUGAUUCUUUUCCAAACAUUUUCAUAGUAGAACAAUUAUUAUUCAUGAGUCAUUCCUUCGCUCAAGCGAAACAAGCUGCUGCCAGCAAUCCAGAAACAGAUUAUGAUAUUGCAGGUUAGAGAAUUGUUUUGAAAAGGAGGGUCCAUGUUAUCCCAGGCGCUUUUUGAUCUGAGUGGAACACUCAAUGAUGAAGCUGAGACCUAGAAGGCAAGUUCUUCUCUAUAGGGUUUGGAAAUCUAAUCAAUUUUGGUUCAAGCUCAUGCUUUGACAGGAUGUAUGAAUGAAGUGAAAAAAAGCUUUAGAGCAUAGAGUUCCUGAUGUCACUCUCACAGUGAAUCCUGAAAAGUGAAGACCUUACACAAGGACUGGUGCCAUCAUCUUCUACUGGAACUGAUAUUUUAAUAAAAUAUACAAAUAAAAUAUGCAAGUUUGUUAUUGAUUGUUGGGGAAUGUCACAGUGGUGUUGAGCUCGCAGCAGAGAAGAGUGGGCAUGGUCUCAAUGCUUAAUCAGUGAUGCUCAUGAAAGACCAGGAACCUUGGAGAAGGUUUCACUUAUUAUUCUCCUCGAAGAAGCUCUAUCAACAGCUCCUAAAUUUCUCACUACCAGCUCCCUCAUCUACUUCCUACUUCCCUUUUCUCAGCUUUAUGUCUCAUGUGCAUCAUCUCUCCAUUAAGGGGUUGAAUGUCGGUAACUGCUGGGAAGUCAAUGAUGAAGUUCAAUAUUGGGUGCACAGUGGAAAGAAACCAUGUUUGAUGAAAGCAAGCUAGGAAUAGAGCCUUAUGCAAUUCAGGUGUAAGUUCUGAAGACCUUGAGAGCAAUUGAAGGUCAUACAAAAGCACCAUCAAGUGUACAAAUUAUUUUGUGACUCAGUUAGUCAAGGCCAUUUAUUCUAGGUAGCAUAUUCUGUUGAAGAAGUAGAAGAGGUGAGGACAUUUGUUCCACAGUCUUUUCCGGAAAAGCGGAAGAGGAAUGUGCAUUAGUGAAAAAGUAAGGAGCUUGAAGCUGCUAAGAAGAAAAGAGUCGAGAGUGGUACACUGAUCUACGGUAGAGCUAAGCAGUAUGCCAAGGAGUGCAAUGAGCAAGAAAAUGAAUUGAUUUGAUUGAAAUGUGAGGAAAAACUGAAAGGUCGAUUUUAUGUUGAUUCUAAUGCUAAGCUCUUAUUUAAUAUUCGCAUUUGUGGUAUUAAUCCCAUGCAUCCUAAGACAAGGAGGAUCUUGAAGCUAUCGAGAUUGAGACAAUUUUUUUAUGGUGUUUUUCUUUAAGUUUACAAAUCAACAAUGAAAGUGUUGCUUAGUUGAGCCCAAAUAUGAAUAGUGCAACUGUGCAAGUAUGGAAAGUUUAACAAGUAGAGAACUCUGAUUGUUCUA